UACAGAGGUCCCAAGCGUUGUUCGGAUUCAUUGGGCGUAAAGGGUGCGUAGGCGGCGCGGUAAGUCGGGUGUGAAAUCUCGGAGCUUAACUCCGAAACUGCAUUCGAUACUGCCGUGCUUGAGGACUGGAGAGGAGACUGGAAUUUACGGUGUAGCGGUGAAAUGCGUAGAUAUCGUAAGGAAGACCAGUGGCGAAGGCGGGUCUCUGGACAGUUCCUGACGCUGAUGCACGAAGGCCAGGGGAGCAAACGGG
rnacentral:rRNA from 1 species